UGGGUAUUACUUAAUUCCAACCGCAGACCUCAUAUGAUAAAUAAAAGGAAAAUGCCUGAUGCUCUACCCUGGUAUGUGCCCAGGAGUGGUUCUCGGCAAAAUGUGCAUAGCAAAUCCGGAAAGGAAACUGUAGCAUAUGCAGAAUUUAAGGAUUACAUGGAUAACAGUACCAUAGCAGGGACCAGGUUCAUUACAGAGGAGGGUGUUCACUGGAUAGGUCAUCUUCUCUGGGUUAUAUUUGAGAUCAUCAGCUUUGCAUUUUUUGUGUAUAUGCUUCUACCUAUUAUGCAGAAGGUAAAAUA